ACCCAACUGUAGCCCUUUUUUUCUUGGAGAAGGACAUGCAUCCAGGAAAAAUGAUGAACUUGCAGUUCACUGAAAACACUAACACAGCAACUUUCUUACCUCGCCAGGUUGCUGAUUCAAUACCCUUUUCAUCUAACAAUUUGCCAGAAAUCUACAGUGAGUUUUCAGUGAAACCUGGAUCAACAGAAGCUGAGGUAAUGAAGGAAACAAUCAAGGAAUGUGAAAACCCUGGAAUUGAAGGAGAGGAGAAAGAGUGCGCAACUUCACUGGAGUCAAUGAUCGACUUCAGCACUUCCAAACUAGGAAAGAACGUUCAGGCAAU
rnacentral:lncRNA from 1 species